rnacentral:rRNA from 1 species
AAUCAACGCUGGCGGCGCGCUUAACACAUGCAAGUCGCACGAGAAAGGGAGCAAUCCUAAGUAAAGUGGCGCACGGGUGAGUAACACGUGGAUCAUCUACCUUUUAGUGGGGAAUACCUCUGGGAAACCGGAGACAAUACCGCAUAAGCCCGCAAGGGGAAAGCAGCAAUGCGCUGAAAGAGGAGUCCGCGGCCGAUUAGCUAGUUGGCGGGGUAAUGGCCCACCAAGGCGAAGAUCGGUAGCCGGCCUGAGAGGGCACACGGCCACACUGGCACUGAAACACGGGCCAGACUCCUACGGGAGGCAGCAGUGGGGAAUCCUGCACAAUGGACGAAAGUCUGAUGCAGCGACGCCGCGUGAGCGAUGAAGCCCUUCGGGGUGUAAAGCUCUUUCGACGGGAACGAUAAUGACGGUACCCGGAGAAGAAGCUGCGGCUAACUACGUGCCAGCAGCCGCGGUAAUACGUAGGCAGCGAGCGUUGUUCGGAAUUACUGGGCGUAAAGAGUGUGUAGGCGGUGUUCCCAGUCUGUUGUGAAAUCUCCCGGCUUAACUGGGAGGGUGCAGCGGAAACUAGAAUGCUAGAGGGUGGGAGAGGUAAGCGGAAUUCCUGGUGUAGCGGUGAAAUGCGUAGAUAUCAGGAGGAACACCUGUGGUGUAGACAGCUUACUGGACCACUUCUGACGCUGAGACACGAAAGCGUGGGUAGCAAACAGGAUUAGAUACCCUGGUAGUCCACGCCCUAAACGAUGCAUACUUGGUGUGAGCGAUUCAUUUCGUUCGUGCCGGAGCUAACGCGUUAAGUAUGCCGCCUGGGGGAGUACGGUCGCAAGGCUGAACUCAAAGGAAUUGACGGGGGCCCGCACAA